rnacentral:rRNA from 1 species
UACGGGGGGGGCAAGCGUUGUUCGGAAUUACUGGGCGUAAAGGGCUCGUAGGCGGCCAACUAAGUCAGACGUGCAAUCCCUCGGCUUAACCGGGGAACUGCGUCUGAUACUGGAUGGCUUGAGUUUGGGAGAGGGAUGCGGAAUUCCAGGUGUAGCGGUGAAAUGCGUAGAUAUCUGGAGGAACACCGGUGGCGAAGGCGGCAUCCUGGACCAACACUGACGCUGAGGAGCGAAAGCCAGGGGAGCAAACGGG